AUUGGAGUUUCUCUUUUUCAAAGUCUGCUCCGACCAAGCACUUACAUGUUCAGGUACAUAUGUUGGGUUAUGUCAAGUACUUUUUUAGUCUCUGCUUUUGUAAAUCUCUUGUGAAUUUUCAAUUGCGAAAUGUCUGGGACAAAUCUGAAGGAAGAAGUUCAGAAGUGUGAUUCAGUGAUAUAUUGAUCUUGCUGCAGAAGAAGGUAUGACAAAGGGUCAGAAGUUUAAGCAGAAUUUCUUCAGCGGCAUGCUUGUAUUGCAUCGUCAAAGUUGUUUGCAUGCAAAUCUUAGUUUGAACCAGAAUCAAGGUUGAAUUCGGAAGCACCAAAAAAUACACAUCCCAAAGGAGGGUUAGAAGAUUGUGAGCUAGAUGUACCAUCAACACGGUGGUGAGCAUAUUGGGGAGACCGCGAAGUGAUUGGUGUGUAUGAAGAUCCUAGCUGCAUUUUUUAACUAAAAUGUUUGUAUUUUUUGGUCCUUGCCUGUAUGUAUGGAAAAAGCACUUGUGGGUCCAUCUGAUUACAACUAUGAAUUUCUUGUUUGAAAUGUUGAGUUUUAAAACCCAAGUCUUAUGGUCUAUACUUUGUUAUGGAGAGAAACCAAACCAGAUGAUGGUUGCAACUAAUUGUACAUUCCUACUAUG